UGCGUAGGCGGAACAUUAAGUCAGUGGUGAAAUCCUGCGGCUCAACCGUAGAACUGCCAUUGAUACUGAUAUUCUUGAAUGUAGUUGAGGUAGGCGGAAUGUGUAAUGUAGCGGUGAAAUGCUUAGAUAUUACACAGAACACCGAUUGCGAAGGCAGCUUACUAAACUAUGAUUGACGCUGAGGCACGAAAGCGUGGGGAGCGAACAGGAUUAGAUACCCUGGUAGUCC
rnacentral:rRNA from 1 species